rnacentral:rRNA from 1 species
CCUACGGGAGGCAGCAGUGGGGAAUAUUGCACAAUGGGGGAAACCCUGAUGCAGCGACGCCGCGUGAGUGAAGAAGUAUUUCGGUAUGUAAAGCUCUAUCAGCAGGGAAGAAAAUGACGGUACCUGAUGAAGAAGCACCGGCUAACUACGUGCCAGCAGCCGCGGUAAUACGUAGGGGGCAAGCGUUAUCCGGAUUUACUGGGCGUAAAGGGAGCGUAGACGGGAGCACAAGUCUGGAGUGAAAUGCCGGGGCUUAACCCCGGAACUGCUUUGGAAACUGUGCAUCUAGAGUGCAGGAGAGGUAAGUGGAAUUCGUAGUGUAGCGGUGAAAUGCGUAGAUAUUAGGAGGAACACCAGUGGCGAAGGCGGCUUACUGGACUGUAACUGACGUUGAGGCUCGAAAGCGUGGGGAGCAAACAGGAUUAGAUACCCUAGUAGUC